UACGUAGGUGGCGAGCGUUGUCCGGAUUUAUUGGGCGUAAAGCGCGCGCAGGCGGGUUGUCUAAGUCUGCUGUGAAAUCUCCCGGCUCAACUGGGAGGGGCGGCGGAGACUGGGCGACUGGAGGGACCUAGAGGCCGGUGGAAUUCCCGGUGUAGUGGUGAAAUGCGUAGAGAUCGGGGAGGAACACCUGGUGGCGAAGGCGGCCGGCUGGGGGUACCCUGACGCUGAGGCGCGCGC
rnacentral:rRNA from 1 species